UGGGGGAUAUUGCACAAUGGGCGAAAGCCUGAUGCAGCGACGCCGCGUGGGGGAUAAAGGCCUUCGGGUUGUAAACUUCUUUUGCUCUGAACAAGGCAUGCCUUUGGGGUGUGUUGAGUGUAGGGGUUGAUUAGCGCCGGCUAACUACGUGCCAGCAGCCGCGGUAAUACGUAGGGCGCGAGCGUUGUCCGGAAUUAUUGGGCGUAAAGGGCUUGUAGGUGGCUGGUUGCGUCUGUCGUGAAAGCUCAUGGCUUAACUGUGGGUUUGCGGUGGGUACGGGCUGGCUUGAGUGCAGUAGGGGAGGCUGGAAUUCCUGGUGUAGCGGUGGAAUGCGCAGAUAUCAGGAGGAAUACCGGUGGCGAAGGCGGGUCUCUGGGCUGUUACUGACGCUGAGGAGCGAAAGCGUGGGGAGCGAACAGG
rnacentral:rRNA from 1 species